CCUACGGGAGGCAGCAGUGAGGAAUAUUGGUCAAUGGCCGGAAGGCUGAACCAGCCAUGUCGCGUGAAGGAUGACUGCCCUACGGGUUGUAAACUUCUUUUAUAUAGGAAUAAAGUGAUCCACGUGUGGGUUUUUGUAUGUACCUUAUGAAUAAGGAUCGGCUAACUCCGUGCCAGCAGCCGCGGUAAUACGGAGGAUCCGAGCGUUAUCCGGAUUUAUUGGGUUUAAAGGGAGCGUAGAUGGAUUGUUAAGUCAGUUGUGAAAGUUUGCGGCUCAACCGUAAAAUUGCAAUUGAUACUGGCAGUCUUGAGUACAGUAGAGGUAGGCGGAAUUCGUGGUGUAGCGGUGAAAUGCUUAGAUAUCACGAAGAACUCCGAUUGCGAAGGCAGCUCACUAAACUGCCACUGACAUUGAUGCUCGAAAGUGUGGGUAUCAAACAGGAUUAGAUACCCGUGUAGUC
rnacentral:rRNA from 1 species